rnacentral:rRNA from 1 species
UACGUAGGGGGCGAGCGUUGUCCGGAUUCAUUGGGCGUAAAGAGCUCGUAGGCGGCUUGGCAAGUCGGGUGUGAAAACUCCAGGCUCGACCUGGAGAUGCCACCCGAUACUGCUAUGGCUUGAGUUCGGUAGGGGACCACGGAAUUCCUGGUGUAGCGGUGAAAUGCGCAGAUAUCAGGAGGAACACCGGUGGCGAAGGCGGUGGUCUGGGCCGACACUGACGCUGAGGAGCGAAAGUGUGGGGAGCGAACAGG